UUUGGUCACCUGUAUGCAACCCUGAACUGAAGCCAGGCACGGUUUUGUCACCGCUACUGCUUCCCUGGGACCACGUGGCAGAACUGAAUGUCAUUAGCAUACUGAUGAAACGGGAGUAGCAUUCAUCAUUUCGUGUUUUGAACGUGAACCAGCUUGGCCAGAAUGAGAAGCAGAUGUGCUCGUACUGUGUCAGAUUUCAGGUACAAAACCCAAGAAGUCAGGAUGCAAAAAUAAGAAUGUGGGGGACACCUGUUUAACAGUCCAUUGGUGCACUGUGGAAUAGAAGCAUGGGGCAGGGUGGAGUUUAAUUUAUCAGGUCUUAUUAUUCAGUGUGGUGGUGUUGAAAGCACAGGCACAAUUCCCAAACCAACAACUGGAGAGACUCUUAACACACACAUCCCUGUGCUAAUGGGGGGGUGUUUGUGUGUGUGUGUGUGUGAGAGAGAGAGAGAGAGAGAGAAAUUAAAUGAAACCUUGAUGAUAUGCACAGUAAAUCAGUUAUUAGGCCAAAGAUGCUUAGAAUGUGAAAUUAAACGGGGGUGGGGGGAAGCUUUGAGGUCUAAAUAGUUCAAGCUGCUUUGCCCUUUGCUGUUUUCCCAUUAGAUUUAGCUGAAUCUGGUGCAUUUCAGAUCUGAUUGCAUGGAAUAUCUGCCCUUCUCUGGCUCCUUUGGUGUUGCUUGUUCGGAAUGGCAUAUCAAAGUCAAACAGCUGUAGAACCUCAUUAAUCGGCACAAAUGGGAAACGGCAAAGAGGAAUCCCAGGGUGCUUAAUGAAUGAUUGAUAUGUGGUGUGUGUGUGUGUGUGUUUUUGUAGGGAAUCCCUCCAUAUGAGCCAACAGGAGAGCUAUGAGCAUCACUGCCUGCCACAGAACAAACAAUGGCGCCUGGGAGCGAGAUACCUUUGUUAAUCCUAGACAACUUCUUGUGGCUAACCAGACUGGGCAGAACUAUGAAAGCAUCAUUCAGACCAUGCAUAAAACCACCAAAUGGAGUCAAAGCAGGCUCUGUUCCCUU